AAAAUUACUAUGCUAGUAUUAUAGUUAGCUAGAGGAUUUCUUUAGUAGCUAUACCAAUAAAUUCUUGUUGGUCUAGUGGAAAAUUUACUUAGUGUCAAGGCACGAAAUUAGGAGGCAAUUAAAAAUGCAAAACGGUAAAGUAAAAUGGUUUAACGCUGAAAAAGGUUUCGGAUUUAUUGAAGUUGAAGGUGGAAACGAUGUAUUCGUUCACUUUUCUGCUAUCGAAGGUGAAGGUUUCAAAUCUUUAGAAGAAGGUCAAGAUGUUUCUUUUGAAGUUGUUGAAGGUAACCGCGGACCUCAAGCUGCUAACGUUACUAAACUUUAAUUUAUACAAAUACAAUAACAGCCCUUCACAUUUGUGGGGGGCUGUUUU
rnacentral:sRNA from 1 species